rnacentral:misc_RNA from 1 species
ACACCUCAACUCUUUAUGGUUUUCCAUGAUGAGCUUGGACUUUGGGGGUUUUGCUGGCCUAUGGUCGGCUCCUCUAAAAUAAAUCAGCUUACCAGUGUUUGGUGGGUAUCAUGGGUGUGAUAACUAUCUACGCUUGUGGUUUCCCACCAGAUGACCUUCAGCAAUGGAGGUUCGCUGGGGCUUAUAAAUGUCUCUCCUCGGCGAGGACAGAUUUUGACC